AGGUCAUUUCAAAGAAGCCUCAUGUGGCUGUGAGACCAUGAACUCUUAAUGCUGUGGUCAAAGACUGCCAGAAGAUAUGACAGUACUCACUGGUGCUAUGUUUCUCUGAGGAGAUACUAAU
ensembl:snoRNA